rnacentral:rRNA from 1 species
CCUACGGGUGGCAGCAGUGGGGAAUAUUGCACAAUGGGGGAAACCCUGAUGCAGCGACGCCGCGUGAGUGAAGAAGUAUUUCGGUACGUAAAGCUCUAUCAGCAGGGAAGAAAAUGACGGUACCUGACUAAGAAGCCCCGGCUAACUACGUGCCAGCAGCCGCGGUAAUACGUAGGGGGCAAGCGUUAUCCGGAUUUACUGGGUGUAAAGGGAGCGUAGACGGCAGCGCAAGUCUGGAGUGAAAUCCCAUGGCUGAACCAUGGAACUGCUUUGGAAACUGUGCAGCUAGAGUGCAGGAGAGGUAAGCGGAAUUCCUAGUGUAGCGGUGAAAUGCGUAGAUAUUAGGAGGAACACCAGUGGCGAAGGCGGCUUACUGGACUGUAACUGACGUUGAGGCUCGAAAGCGUGGGGAGCAAACAGGAUUAGAUACCCCAGUAGUC